rnacentral:lncRNA from 1 species
UGGGGGGGCUAUGGUUUUUUUUUCUGUGCAAACUUUUUUUUUCGCCUGCGGCGAAAAACAAUCUAUUUUUUUCGCGACAAGUCGAAAAACAAUUUUUUUCUUUCAAUUUUAGCAUUACAUAUAGUGGCAGCUGAGGGUGAAACAAACAAAUUUUUUUUCUCAAAAUCAAAAACAAAUUAUUUUUUUCUCCAAAAACUGGAAACAAACUUUUUUUUCCAAAAAAAACCAUAGCCCCCCCC